rnacentral:lncRNA from 1 species
UCGGAUAUUCUGGAAGAAAGGAACACCGCAAGGAGGAAGGAUCUAUUCCGAGCCAUUUCACCUUAACAAGGUCAUUGGCUCGGAUAUUCUGGAAGAAAGGAACACCGCAAGGAGGAAGAAUUUAUUCCGAGCCAUUUCACCUUAACAAGGUCCUUGGCUCGGAUAUUCUGAAAGAAAGGACAACCCCGCAAGGAGGAAGAAUUUAUUCCGAGCCAUUUCACCUUAACAAGAUCAUUAGCUCGGAUAUUUUGAAAGAAAGGAC